rnacentral:rRNA from 1 species
GACGAACCGUGCGAACGUUAUUCGGAAUCACUGGGCUUAAAGCGCGUGUAGGCGGGGCGGCACGUCGGUCGCUGAAAGCCCCCGGCUCAACCGGGGAACGGGCGCCGAUACGACCGCCCUCGAGGGACGUAGGGGGGACCUGGAACUUCCGGUGGAGCGGUGAAAUGCGUUGAGAUCGGAAGGAACGCCCGUGGCGAAAGCGAGGUCCUGGACGUCUGCUGACGCUGAGACGCGAAAGCCAGGGGGAGCGAACGGG